UUGAACGCUGGCGGCAGGCCUAACACAUGCAAGUCGAGCGGUAACACAGAGAGCUUGCUCUCGGGUGACGAGCGGCGGACGGGUGAGUAAUGUCUGGGAAACUGCCUGAUGGAGGGGGAUAACUACUGGAAACGGUAGCUAAUACCGCAUAACGUCGCAAGACCAAAGUGGGGGACCUUCGGGCCUCAUGCCAUCAGAUGUGCCCAGAUGGGAUUAGCUAGUAGGUGGGGUAACGGCUCACCUAGGCGACGAUCCCUAGCUGGUCUGAGAGGAUGACCAGCCACACUGGAACUGAGACACGGUCCAGACUCCUACGGGAGGCAGCAGUGGGGAAUAUUGCACAAUGGGCGCAAGCCUGAUGCAGCCAUGCCGCGUGUGUGAAGAAGGCCUUCGGGUUGUAAAGCACUUUCAGCGGGGAGGAAGGCGGUGAGGUUAAUAACCUCAUCGAUUGACGUUACCCGCAGAAGAAGCACCGGCUAACUCCGUGCCAGCAGCCGCGGUAAUACGGAGGGUGCAAGCGUUAAUCGGAAUUACUGGGCGUAAAGCGCACGCAGGCGGUCUGUCAAGUCGGAUGUGAAAUCCCCGGGCUCAACCUGGGAACUGCAUUCGAAACUGGCAGGCUAGAGUCUUGUAGAGGGGGGUAGAAUUCCAGGUGUAGCGGUGAAAUGCGUAGAGAUCUGGAGGAAUACCGGUGGCGAAGGCGGCCCCCUGGACAAAGACUGACGCUCAGGUGCGAAAGCGUGGGGAGCAAACAGGAUUAGAUACCCUGGUAGUCCACGCCGUAAACGAUGUCGAUUUGGAGGUUGUGCCCUUGAGGCGUGGCUUCCGGAGCUAACGCGUUAAAUCGACCGCCUGGGGAGUACGGCCGCAAGGUUAAAACUCAAAUGAAUUGACGGGGGCCCGCACAAGCGGUGGAGCAUGUGGUUUAAUUCGAUGCAACGCGAAGAACCUUACCUGGUCUUGACAUCCACAGAACUUUCCAUAGAUGGAUUGGUGCCUUCGGGAACUGUGAGACAGGUGCUGCAUGGCUGUCGUCAGCUCGUGUUGUGAAAUGUUGGGUUAAGUCCCGCAACGAGCGCAACCCUUAUCCUUUGUUGCCAGCGGUUCGGCCGGGAACUCAAAGGAGACUGCCAGUGAUAAACUGGAGGAAGGUGGGGAUGACGUCAAGUCAUCAUGGCCCUUACGACCAGGGCUACACACGUGCUACAAUGGCAUAUACAAAGAGAAGCGACCUCGCGAGAGCAAGCGGACCUCAUAAAGUAUGUCGUAGUCCGGAUUGGAGUCUGCAACUCGACUCCAUGAAGUCGGAAUCGCUAGUAAUCGUAGAUCAGAAUGCUACGGUGAAUACGUUCCCGGGCCUUGUACACACCGCCCGUCACACCAUGGGAGUGGGUUGCAAAAGAAGUAGGUAGCUUAACCUUCGGGAGGGCGCUUACCACUUUGUGAUUCAUGACUGGGGUG
rnacentral:rRNA from 1 species